UAUAUACUCCCUCCGUCCGGAAAUACUUGUCAUCAAAAUGGAUAAAAGGGAUGUAUUUAGAUGUAUUUUAGUUUUAGAUACAUCCCUUUUGUCCAUUUUGAUGACAAGUAUUUUCGAACGGAGGGAGUAUAAU
rnacentral:pre_miRNA from 1 species